CGUAGGUGGCAAGCGUUGUCCGGAAUUAUUGGGCGUAAAGCGCGCGCAGGUGGUCCUUUAAGUCUGAUGUGAAAGCCCACGGCUCAACCGUGGAGGGUCAUUGGAAACUGGGGGACUUGAGUGCAGAAGAGGAUAGUGGAAUUCCAAGUGUAGCGGUGAAAUGCGUAGAGAUUUGGAGGAACACCAGUGGCGAAGGCGACUAUCUGGUCUGUAACUGACACUGAGGCGCGAAAGCGUGGGGAGCAAACAGGAUUAGAUACCCUGGUAGUCCACGCCGUAAACGAUGAGUGCUAAGUGUUGGGGGGUUUCCGCCCCUCAGUGCUGCAGCUAACGCAUUAAGCACUCCGCCUGGGGAGUACGGUCGCAAGACUG
rnacentral:rRNA from 1 species